CUAUAACAGUAGCUUCUACAGUGACUGUCCUUCUUGCUCUCAAGCUCAUAGUUGUUUUUUUUUUUUCCACUCUGAAGCCAGAUGAAGUCUCUUAAGACCUUGGUAACAUCACCUACGUCCUGGGUAUGGUCCCUGGGCAUGGCCACCGUCGGACUCUGUGGGCUGAGUGCAGUGAUGACAGCUGAGCUACCGGAGCAGUCAUGGUCACAGAGGUCUCCAGACCCACCUCGCUGGUGACGAUAUCCCCCACCCCAGACCCACCUCUGUACAGCGGGGACAAAGCCUCCUUUCACACUCGGGGUGCACUGGCCCUCUGGAACCUCUCACAAGGUUCAUCUUGUGUACAUUCCAUUGCCCUGUUUUCCAGAUCAUUGAUCCAUUCUUCUGCAUCCUCUAAUCUGUUGCCUCCCUCUGGUAAUUAUUCAUUUAAUUUAUUUUAAUUAAUAUUUUAAAUAUUUUCUCUCUUUAUUGAAGUUCUCACUGAGUUGAAUCUACUUUUCCUCCAGUCUUGCAAAAUUUCUGUGAUCAUUAUUUUGAAUUACUUAUCAGGUAGACUGGUUAUCUCUUUUUCAUUUAGUUCUUUUUCUGAGGUUUUAUCUUGUUCUUUCAUUUGGAGCAUAUGCCCCUGUCUUAUUUUGCUUGAGUCUUCUUUUUCCCCUAUUUAUUAGGUAGAACAGCUAUAUCUCCUAAACUUCAAAGAAUGAUCUAUAUGGUUGUCCCAUGUGUAGGCUGUAUGUGUCUGAUGACUUUGGUUGACUACAGCUGUGGCUGCUAUAGGUUGGGGGUGGUGCUAGCCCCAGGGCACUCCAUUCUGGGAUUGCCCUUAUGACAUGGCCUGAGCUGAAGUUGGUAUGGGUUGCAGUGAUCCCAGUGCUCUUUCCAAAGUACACCCAGGCAGGACAGCUGAAUUGGGCAUGGGCCAGGGUAGUCUCUGGGCUCUCUGCACAAAGAGCAACUAGAAGGAAAACUGAAGCUUAAGUGGGUACAAACUGGAGUGUUCUGGGAUGCUGUGCUCAGGGGACACCCUAAUGAGGCAUCUGGAGCUUGUUGGGGGAGUCUGAGGUGCUCUAUGCUGGAGGUACCCUCUGUGGCAACUGGAGCCAAGAUGGGCAUGAACUGGUGGUUUCCGGGUUGCUAUAUACACAGGACACUGGCUGGGUGACUGAAGUAAAAGCAAUGCAGACUGGGUGGCCCCAGGGCUCUAUGAACGGGAGUGCCCCUGUCAAGGGCUUCAUCUGGAGCUGAAGCAGUACAGACCUGGGAUGUUUGGGGGACAGGGAGGCUUUGUGCCUGUGUCACUUUGGUGAGAUAGCUGGAGCUAUAGUGAGCACUGACCAGGAGUGUCCCAGUGUAUGUCAGGAUGCAGCUGUCUUUGUGGGAUGGCUGGCACUGGUGUGGGCCAGGGUACUGUGACUUACUGAGAUGGCAGACUGGCUAGGGUGCCUGGACGCUGCUUCCAUCUGCAUUGUCAAGAUGGAGGGGAAACAAACCACAGUACUCACCAGCCCUUCUGACCCAGAGAGGAGGGUUCCAGCAGCUCCCUCUCCAUUUGGCAGGGUUAUAGGACUAAUUCCUUUAUUUUAGUUGCCCUUUUAAAUGAUGUGUUUUUUUUUUCCUGUGCCCCAGGGCAGAAGAAUGUGCUCAUUGUCCCAAAGUAUUAUCCCUCCCUGCUGAGGUUUGCAAUGUCAGAGGUGCAGGUUUCUUUUGUAACUGUGUCUCUAUCUUGAUCUUUUUUGUCAUUAUCUGUGUGGUCUAUCAUUUGUUUUUCAGAAGCUGUUCAGUCAACCCUCAGCUCUUCAAGAAGAAUUGCUGUAUAAAUAGGUGUAGAUGUGUUAUGUCUGUUGAGAAGAGACACCAUCACUGGACUACUCUUGGAAGAUGGAGGAGAGAAUGAGACAUCACUUUUGGUUGAGUGGGAGUCGAUAGUGGAGGAAGAAGGCUGGGGCUGGCUCACCAAGUACACUCCAAUUUUCAAAUUUCUGGACUUUUAUGGGCCGCCAGAUAGACACUCUGGAGCCAUCUAGUGGUGUAACAUCAUUGAUCUAAAAUGUUAAGAGACGGGUUUAGCCUUGAAAAAAGUCCAUAUGCAGACAAUGUCUCAGAAUAAUCUCACAUGGAGGUAGCAUCAUUUUAGGAAGGCAACUCUAGCUGUGGGUGUCCUGGUCCUAGGAAAGCAAUGGAUAUCCUAACUCUGACUCAUUCCCUCUGACUACAGCUUCCUCUAGCACUGUUCCAAGCUGUACAUCAUUUAGUGACCUAGGUGGGGUGGAAUUUAGAAACACCAGUUAUUUUUUUAGCAAGUCCAUCAAAUACAAGACUGAAUGUAUCCAGUGGAAAUGAGGUUUUGCUGGUGACUUUAUUAUUGACUCCUACGUAUACUCUACCUGUUUUCAGAUGAACACAUUUGGGCUGAGGUUGAGUUGUCAAGGGGGGGUAUUCAAUAGCUUUAAAUUGUAAGGGUAUUGCUCUGUUUUGAUGGAUAUUUAUGGAACUUGAGGAAUAGAAGGACUAGUGCCAUUUCCUGUUCCUGAAGCUGAAAAACAAUCCUCCCUAUGAAGAUUUGGACUAGAUGGGACAGAUUUGCAAUACUUGGAAAAGGUUUUUCUUGGAAACUGCAAUGAUAACUUCUUUCUAUUCAUUUAACCUCAUUUCUUUUAUUGGUAAUCUAAAUUAGGCUCUAUGGCAAUUGUUUUCAAAAUUGAGCAUGUGUUCAUCACAUCAACUGAAGGUUUGCUAAAAUAUAUAUUUCUAGACCCUACUCUCAGAGUUUCUGCUUCAGAAAGGUCUGGGUUUGGGGUCCAAGAAUUUACAUUUACAACAAGUUUCCAAGAGAUGUCAAUAUUACUGACUGAGGAACUGUACUUUAUGAACUACUGAUGUGAAGAAUCAAGACAGAAAGGUUCAGCCUUUAUUGCUUCGCUGACUUAAGGACAAGACCCACAUGUGCUGUUAGAGUUCCCCAAUGAACAGCAGGUUUUUAUUCUUGGUAAUUCUUCUGUUUUUAAAAAUAGACCUGAUUCUUCAAAUGAGAUCAUUUUCAGAAUCCCAAUAUAUUAAACAGAGAGAAAUAAAGCCACUCUGAUUAUAAUGAAGGUUGCAAGGGGUGCCUGAGUGGCUCAGAUGGUUAAGCAUCUGUCCUUUGAUUUCAGCUCAGGUCAUGAUCUCAGGGUCAUGAGAUAAAGUCCCAUGUU